rnacentral:rRNA from 1 species
AGGACGAACGCUGGCGGCGUGCUUAACACAUGCAAGUCGAGCGGUAAGGCCCUUCGGGGUACACGAGCGGCGAACGGGUGAGUAACACGUGGGUAACCUGCCCUGUACUGUGGGAUAAGCCUGGGAAACUGGGUCUAAUACCGCAUAUGACUGCAUCCUGCAUGGGGUGUGGUGGAAAGUUCUGGCGGUACAGGAUGGGCCCGCGGCCUAUCAGCUUGUGGUGGGGUGAUGGCCUACCAAGGCGACGACGGGUA